rnacentral:tRNA from 1 species
GCCGAGGUAGCUCAGUGGUAGAGCAGCUCACUCGUAAUGAGCAGGCCGAGGGUUCAAUUCCCUCCUUCGGCUCAA